GGACCCCCGCACCCCCCCCCCCCCUCCAUUAUUAUUAUUAUUUUGUUCUUUGGUCAUUUCAGGUGGUCGUCACAAUAGCGCAAUCAGUCCUACAAAGUGAAUGGCUACAUUGUCGCCAGAGUGCAGGUCCAGGAUGGAGCACAAUAACGUACCUUAAAAUGAGCGCGCCAGUCCAAGCGUCGUGUCAUCCACAAGGUGGCUGUGAAAUCUUGACACUUGAGUCCGAGAAAGUCACUCGUCCGCGGCGUUCAUCACCUGUAAAACAUUUGUCGCACGACAAAUUGAGGUAACUUAUUUUUAAAUCAG